rnacentral:rRNA from 1 species
GACGAACGCUGGCGGCGUGCCUAACACAUGCAAGUCGAGCGAAUGAAGUUCCUUCGGGAAUGGAUUUAGCGGCGGACGGGUGAGUAACACGUGGGCAACCUGCCCCAUAGAGGGGAAUAGCCUCCCGAAAGGGAGAUUAAUACUGCAUAAGAUUGUAGUACCGCAUGAUACAGCAAUUAAAGGAGCAAUCCGCUAUGAGAUGGGCCCGCGGCGCAUUAGCUAGUUGGUGAGGUAAUGGCUCACCAAGGCGACGAUGCGUAGCCGACCUGAGAGGGUGAUCGGCCACAUUGGGACUGAGACACGGCCCAGACUCCUACGGGAGGCAGCAGUGGGGAAUAUUGCACAAUGGGGGAAACCCUGAUGCAGCAACGCCGCGUGAGUGAUGACGGCCUUCGGGUUGUAAAGCUCUGUCUUCAGGGACGAUAAUGACGGUACCUGAGGAGGAAGCCACGGCUAACUACGUG